rnacentral:lncRNA from 1 species
UUUAUUUGAGUGUGAAUGGUAUGAUUUAGAGAGUAACAAGCCUGUGAGUAUAGCUAGUAAUACAUGUAUACAUUUUCAACAAUCUUUUGAGGCCAGGAUAUAGACCUGCUCCAACUUCUUCUUCUGAUGGAAAUGGUAUGAUCAGUUUGCCUCUGCUUCAAACAAUCAAAAUACUAUGUGAUUUGGCAAAUUUCUUCAUGAUCUUAAUCUUGAUGGUCCAAAUUUGUGAAUCACAGGCUCUCUGGUGUCGGAUGGAGGGUCCAGGUAUUCUUGAUCAGGUUGCUAGCUUUAUUUUGUGUUGUUUACCUCACCAACCAAACGCGCUCCUGCAGUGCUUUCCCCUGGCCGGCACGAUUCAAUGCUGCACUUUCCCUGCUUUUCGUGCCUGCUACCACAUCUCAAGAAAGGCACAUUGCAUUGCCCAUUAAUUGUCUGCCUUACCUAGUCAUUCUAUUAGUUAAUCCCCAACACAAGCUUGUCUUUCUCGUCUUGGGCGAAUGACACGGCUUGGCACUAGUUAACUUGCCAUUUCUUCAUUGACGAUUAGCUAGCCUUAAACACUACUGGCCUCUGAAUUUUUGGGUGUGCCGGUGCACCUAGAUCCACCCCGUUGCUUCUUCAAAAUGCCAGAUCAAUCUACUUAUCUGACUGAAUUCUCUUGACCACAUUUACUCUCGCUUAGUCGAGUUCUGCCACCACCCAUGCACUCUGGUUAUUAACACCAGUUUAAGUUAAUUUAAUGCGCUCAUUUUUAUUUGAUUAGUUUGCAGCGACGCUGAUAAUAUUAAGUGUACGUACAUUAGCUCAAGUCUUGGAUGUAAUCACGUAUGCAGUCUGUUUACUUUUGCUAGACCUGACCUGACCAUGUUCCUUAAUGUUGGUUUCACACCGAUUCGUUAGUUCAUUAUCCAGCGGUGUCUCUUGGUGGACAAUUGGAUAGUUAUUGGUUUCGACCCAUGGGAGUUGGAGAAUAAUGUGAUUCAGAGUUAGCUACGUACAAAUGUAUAGUAGAAAUUAAAAGUAGGUAGGUGGCAAAGUAGGUAGGUGAUUCAGAGUUAGCUACGUACAAAUGUAUUUCCUGUGUAUGUGUGCAGUUUUUCUUCCUGUGAUGUUGUUGAGCUUCUGAGCUAUGGCAAAGCUGAUCAAGUGACUGGCAAUUUGGUGUCUCUAGCUUAGUUUAUUGGCAUGCUUGCACUCUUUCUGAUGUUUGUUAUGUCUGGUGUUGUUAAUGAAAUAACAUAUGCUCUGGCCACCAUUAUAUAGGAGAUGACCUUGGAGGAGCAGCGGAAAGCAAUACUCGCGCUAAAGACUGAGAAGAGAAAACUAGUUGGAUCUAAAGAAAAUUCAGUGUACAAAUGCUAAAUGUAAUGUUUGGAUCAUAUUGGGGUCUACUGAUUGGAUCAUAUGUUCAGAUCAGUACUAAACGUGGUACUGUACUUUGCAAAUGCUAGAGUGGUAUUUCCUACUUGCAAAACAAAAUUCAGUUUAGCAUGUAAUGUUUGGAUCAUAAGUUUACAAAUGUUGAUUCUGAACUUCUGAAUGUUGAUUCUGAACUGCCAAAUGUCUAAAAUUCUGAGAUUUCUUGCAUACUGCAAAUGUCAGCGUGUGACAAUAUAUUGUACCUAUGAUAUAGUUGCUUUCUCA